GCCGGUGCGAAACCGGUGCUGUCCCGCAACUGUGAUGCCCCUGCCGGGGACGAGCCAGG
rnacentral:ncRNA from 12 species